rfam:Triticum aestivum genome assembly, contig: Triticum_aestivum_CS42_TGACv1_scaffold_593127_7BS
AUAAUACUCCCUCCCUCCAGAAUUACUUGUCAUCAAAAUGGAUGUGUCUAGAACUAAAAUACAUCUAGAUACAUCCAUUUCAAUGACAAGUAUUUUCCGACGGAGGGAGUAGUAG